rnacentral:rRNA from 1 species
GAUGAACGCUAGCUACAGGCUUAACACAUGCAAGUCGAGGGGCAGCACAGUGUAGCAAUACAUGGGUGGCGACCGGCGCACGGGUGCGUAACGCGUAUCCAACCUUCCCGAUACUCAGGGAUAGCCUUCCGAAAGGGAGAUUAAUACCUGAUGGUGUUUCACUUUCGCAUGUUAUUGAAACUAAAGAUUUAUCGGUAUCGGAUGGGGAUGCGUGACAUUAGAUAGUAGGCGGGGUAACGGCCCACCUAGUCUACGAUGUCUAGGGGUUCUGAGAGGAAGGUCCCCCCACACUGGAACUGAGACACGGUCCAGACUCCUACGGGAGGCAGCAGUGAGGAAUAUUGGUCAAUGGUCGGAAGACUGAACCAGCCAAGUAGCGUGAAGGAUGAAGGUUCUAUGGAUUGUAAACUUCUUUUGCGAGGGAGCAAUAAGGUCUACGUGUAGUCCGAUGAGAGUACCUCGCGAAUAAGCAUCGG